rnacentral:lncRNA from 1 species
AACUGCUUUUCAGAAUUAGGAAAUAAAUGGAGUACUAUUUUAUCUCCAAUUUAAUUUUUGAAAAAAUAUUAUUACUAUACGUUGCCAAUUUCAAUAUAAUAAUCACAAUGAAAUGUGUUUCGUGUUGAAAUAAAACGUCAACAAACUACCACAUUAUUGUAUUUAAAAAAUAUAUUCAAGUUCUCUCUCUCUAUCUCUCUAUAUAUAUACAAAAAAAAUAGCUAGCAUUUUUGUAAUAAGCGCUUUUUUUUUAAUUACAUCAAUUAAUUGAGCAGGUGUUUUGUGAAAGGGUACUGCUAUACAACCAGAAAAUAGAACCAGAAAAUAGAUAAGAUGAUGUGGAUAGCCACAUCUUCCUAUUUAAAAAGAGUUUAAAUUAAAAAAAACUCUUGAAAAGAUAAUAAAUGUGACCAUUUACAAAGAGUUUUUAACAAAAAAAAACUUUUAAAAAAGAUAUUAAAUAAGUACUUUUGUACCAAUUUUCUAUGUCUAACGUGUAUCUUGAGGUACUCCAAACUGAUUUACAUCUUUUGCUCUCUUCUACAAUUUUUUCUUAUAUGAACACAUGUCUGAGUGUGAUUCUUUUACCAAUUGUUAUACAUCUCAUCCAUUUUUUUAAUUGCCCUCUUAAUGUGUGAUAUUUGAGUAUAUAAAAUUUGAUCUGAAUUUUAAAAAAAUAUAAUUAAAGGUAUAUUUGUUUUUUUCUUAAAAAUUAACUAUUUUUUAGUUUUAUUAGUUUUUUUAUUUUUUAUUUUUAUAGUUUUUUUCUUUUUUUACAUCUAUAUAAGUUGUGGUUCUUAUGGUUAGACACGAUGUUAAUCUAAUAAUUAUUUACCUCCCGUUGCAACCUUAACAAAGAGAAGGACAUGAUUUUUUUCUCUGUGAGAAAAAUAAUUUAUUUUCUUCCUCCGAUAUUGUGGGAAAAAAAAAAUAUAUCAUCAUGAAAAUUAAGAAGAAAAAUUCCACAUGACUUUGAAAUAGAAAUAGCUGUUUGUCUAGUUUAUUUUGCGUGUAGUUCUUUGAUUUCAAUCUUUUUUUAUUUUAUCGAACUGUUUAAUUAUUGAUCCAAUUUUUUAUACUUUUUAAUUUUUUUGAAAAAAAAAAGUUAAAAAAAAUAUAAAAAAUGUCAUCUAAUCAAAAAAAAUCAUUAAAGACGAAAAACUUUAUUUUAGAUUAAUUUCUUUUGUUUUUAGAUUUUCUAAAUUUAAAAAGUUUUAUAUUUUCAAAUUUCUUUCGCAAGGGAAAAAAUCUAAAACUAAAAGUUAUAAAGGAUGUUACUGUAUUUUUUAGACUAAUUUUGGUCUAAUUUACUUUGAUGAGGUAAACUAAUUUUUGUUUUUUAUUUUCGUUUUUGUUUGCGUUUUGUUUGUUGAACGCUUAAAGUAUAAAAGGGGGUCACGGUAUUUUUUAGAAUUUUAAAAGUAGGAAAGACAUAUGUAAAUAGAAGAUAGAGAAGGUUUAAGUAACUAAGAGAGCGCCAAAGUUUGGGAGUAAAUAGGAAAGAUAAAUGAGUAAAUGGGCUGAGGGUUGGGAGAGAGAGAAAGAAUCCAGCUGUAUUUGCCAAUUGAAUGCCACAUCAUUAAAUUUUUAUGUAUCAUUUUUCUGAAAGAGUAGCAUUUUCCUUGGUGAAAUUAAACGUGUUUAGUGAAAAAUUAUCUAAUUUCCAACUAGUCAAGAGUAAAUUACACUAUUUUACCCCUACACUUUUCCAAAAUAGCUCUUUGCACUAUUUGCUUUUAAUUGUAUUAGUUAGUAAACUCUUACUCUUUAUCACUUGCCAACUUGGCUAUUAUGUUCAUCUUCCAUUCAAUUAAUUAAGAGCAUGUGGCAUCUUUUCAUGUGGUCAUAUGACAUUGUUUUGUCAUCAGGUGAACUUAAGGGCUAAAUAGACACUUGAUUUGAAAUGUAAGGGGGUUAACUGAAACAAUUGAGAAUGAAACCUACAAAAUUAUAUUUUAGCAAGUACAAGGGAAAUAGAAGAAGCAAAAGGGGAAUGUAUAUAUGGUUAGUUAUUUAUGCAAGAAACUAGUGAGAACGCCACGCGUUGCAGUGAGAAAUUAGAAUUAGAGGAGUUUCCAUAUAUAUGUUAAUGGCUGGGAGGGAUCGGAAGUGUCGGUAAUUCAAGAGGGGUGGUAUUUGGAAACUUCACGUGAGUUUACUCGCCAGUUGCCACACAUUUGAAAAUAUGUAUGUUUUGUGUUUAUCAACGCAGGCUAAGCAUGUUGGAACUUCUUCCCCAUAAAACAUGGGAUUCCCUUGGAGUACUUUGAGUCAUUCCAAUAUGUAAACGUGGACUUAAAAUUUUAAUUAAACGAUGCACAUAUAUUAUGUUACUAACGACACACGUGGUAUUAUUAUUUAAUAAUAAAUUACUGUAUAAGAAAAAUGAAUUUUACUUUGCACACAAUGUUACAUAAUGUUGUUAUUAAAUUUUCAAAGUUAAAAAGUUACAUUCAAAUAGUGGAGUUAAUCCAUUUUCUAAGAAAAAUUAAUAAAUAGA